rnacentral:rRNA from 1 species
UAACACGGAGGGGGCAAGCGUUGUUCGGAAUUACUGGGUGUAAAGCGGGAGUAGGCGGGUUUGUAAGUCGAAAAUUAAAUCUGUAGGCUCAACCUGCAAACUGUUUUCGAUACUACAAAUCUUGAGCACGAGAGGGGAGGAUGGAACUCCCAGUGUAGCGGUUGAAUGCGUAGAUAUUGGGAGGAACACUCGUGGCGAAGGCGGUUCUCUGGAUCGUUGCUGACGCUGAAUCCCGAAAGCUAGGGGAGCAAACAGGAUUAGAUACCCUGGUAGUCCUAGCCGUAAACGAUGACCACUAGGUGUAUCCAUUUUUGAAUGGAUGUGCCGUAGCUAACGCGUUAAGUGGUCCACCGGGGGAGUACGGUCGCAAGGCUG